AAUAGCAAGGACAAGUUUACCAAAAAAAAAAAAAGAUUAGAAAUGAAUCAGAAUGUGAUAACAAGAGGGUCAAGACAUCAUCGAUUUAAAAAGGGAAGUCAUCACAAAAGAUUCAAUCCUGUGUACGAUGCGAGUUAAAUUAUGAAAUAAGUUUGUAUUUGUAGGUGACUGGAGCCUAUUUUGCUUGUGAAAAUUUGGAUCAUAAAAUAAAAGACUGCCCUUUGGACAAGAAGAAAGAAUCACUGGCUCAUAAAUCAUCAGCCCAUGUCAGAGUGUAUGUUAUCACGGAAUAU
rnacentral:lncRNA from 1 species